AUGGUGUCUGUCAUCAUCCUGCACUACUCGAAGAUGACAUACGAUAUGGUUCAGCUCCCGGGAGAUGUCUACAACUACGCAGGGCAGAUGUAUCAGCUACCUCGAAGGUCCCUCUUGGCGAACUAUGAGAAAGGUGUAGGCUAUGCGGAGCUCAAUGACCUCCAGCUCCGGAUAUGGUCAUUGGCAAGAUCGUGCGACGACCAACUUGGGUGGACGCUAGCACACGAGGCUAACCUCAGCCCGCAUGUGUAUAUGAUGCGGCAUAACUCACGGACACUAGAACAAGGGGUUACAUGGGAGAUGGUCGCAAGCAGCAAAGCACCUGUCAGCUUGUUCGAGCAAAUUAGUAGCGGCAAGGAAAGCAAAGAAGAAGAAGACGAGGAAGCAUGGAACGAGGACGAGGACAAUUUCAUCGAAGUGGAUAAAAGCGUCGCAGGCCAAAAGGAAACUGCAGCAGACCUACGGUGGUAUCAUUGGACUGCAUCCGCAUAA
rnacentral:rRNA from 1 species